UUCCAACAUAUUGAGUUCAGUUCAGGCCAGCUUCCCCGUUCUGUUAAUUAAACUUUGGAACACUAAAACACAGGCUAAGGGAGAUGAUUAGAUAGAAAGCAUUGUUCUAUUUAUUUACCUCCCAGCCAAGAAAG